rnacentral:rRNA from 1 species
GACGAACGCUGGCGGCGUGCCUAAUACAUGCAAGUAGAACGCUGAAGGAGGAGCUUGCUUCUCUGGAUGAGUUGCGAACGGGUGAGUAACGCGUAGGUAACCUGCCUGGUAGCGGGGGAUAACUAUUGGAAACGAUAGCUAAUACCGCAUAAGAGUAGAUGUUGCAUGACAUUUGCUUAAAAGGUGCAAUUGCAUCACUACCAGAUGGACCUGCGUUGUAUUAGCUAGUUGGUGGGGUAACGGCUCACCAAGGCGACGAUACAUAGCCGACCUGAGAGGGUGAUCGGCCACACUGGGACUGAGACACGGCCCAGACUCCUACGGGAGGCAGCAGUAGGGAAUCUUCGGCAAUGGACGGAAGUCUGACCGAGCAACGCCGCGUGAGUGAAGAAGGUUUUCGGAUCGUAAAGCUCGGUUGUAAGAGAAGAACGAGUGUGAGAGUGGAAAGUUCACACUGUGACGGUAGCUUACCAGAAAGGGACGGCUAACUACGUG